AUCACUACAAGCUCAGGAGAUCACUUCUCUGAGUUCCAAAGGUGCUUUUAUUUGGCUACAUACAGCAUUCGGAUGCACUUGCAGAAGCAGAGAACAACAAAGAAAUUGGCAGAAGCAACACAAACUAUUUUUUUCAGAGAACAUUGUCAUUCAAAAUAAUAAUAUGAAAAAAGAAGUUUUUGAUACAUGUAUACACUCUCUGUCAAGUGCAAUACUUCCAUCUAAUAAGUUUCAACAAUAUUAUUCACCUUUUGUAAUAAUCUCAAACAGCAAAACAAAACAAGAGAAGAGAUUACGUCUGAGUCAACAUCACAUUUGAAUU